AUUGAACGCUGGCGGCAGGCCUAACACAUGCAAGUCGAACGAGUGGCGGACGGGUGAGUAAUGUCUGGGAAACUGCCUGAUGGAGGGGGAUAACUACUGGAAACGGUAGCUAAUACCGCAUACCAUCGGAUGUGCCCAGAUGGGAUUAGCUAGAAGGUGGGGUAAAGGCGAACCUAGGCGCCGAUCCCUAGCUGGUCUGAGAGGAGGACCAGCAAUACUGGAACUGAGACACGGUCCAGACUACUACUGGAGGCAGCAGGGGGGAAUAUUGCACAAUGGGCGCCAUCCUGAUGCAGCCAUGCGGCGGGGAUGAAGAAGGCCUUCGGGUUGUAAAGUACGUUCAGCGGGGAGGCGUUACCCGCAGAAGAAGCACCGGCUAACUCCGUGCCAGCAGCGGCGGUAAUAC
rnacentral:rRNA from 1 species